rnacentral:rRNA from 1 species
UACGUAGGGUGCGAGCGUUAAUCGGAAUUACUGGGCGUAAAGCGUGCGCAGGCGGUUUUGUAAGCCAGAUGUGAAAUCCCCGGGCUUAACCUGGGAAUGGCAUUCGGGACUGCAAGGCUGGAGUGCGGCAGAGGAGACUGGAAUUCCUGGUGUAGCAGUGAAAUGCGUAGAUAUCGAGAGGAACACCAGCGGCGAAGGCGGCUCACUGGGCUCCACCUGACGCUGAGGCGCGAAAGCGUGGGGAGCGAACCGG